rnacentral:rRNA from 1 species
GAUGAACGCUGGCGGCGUGCCUAAUACAUGCAAGUCGAGCGAACGGACGAGGAGCUUGCUUCUCUGAUGUUAGCGGCGGACGGGUGAGUAACACGUGGAUAACCUACCUAUAAGACUGGGAUAACUUCGGGAAACCGGAGCUAAUACCGGAUAAUAUUUUGAACCGCAUGGUUCAAAAGUGAAAGACGGUCUUGCUGUCACUUAUAGAUGGAUCCGCGCUGCAUUAGCUAGUUGGUAAGGUAACGGCUUACCAAGGCAACGAUGCAUAGCCGACCUGAGAGGGUGAUCGGCCACACUGGAACUGAGACACGGUCCAGACUCCUACGGGAGGCAGCAGUAGGGAAUCUUCCGCAAUGGGCGAAAGCCUGACGGAGCAACGCCGCGUGAGUGAUGAAGGUCUUCGGAUCGUAAAACUCUGUUAUUAGGGAAGAACAUAUGUGUAAGUAACUGUGCACAUCUUGACGGUACCUAAUCAGAAAGCCACGGCUAACUACGUGCCAGCAGCCGCGGUAAUACGUAGGUGGCAAGCGUUAUCCGGAAUUAUUGGGCGUAAAGCGCGCGUAGGCGGUUUUUUAAGUCUGAUGUGAAAGCCCACGGCUCAACCGUGGAGGGUCAUUGGAAACUGGAAAACUUGAGUGCAGAAGAGGAAAGUGGAAUUCCAUGUGUAGCGGUGAAAUGCGCAGAGAUAUGGAGGAACACCAGUGGCGAAGGCGACUUUCUGGUCUGUAACUGACGCUGAUGUGCGAAAGCGUGGGGAUCAAACAGGAUUAGAUACCCUGGUAGUCCACGCCGUAAACGAUGAGUGCUAAGUGUUAGGGGGUUUCCGCCCCUUAGUGCUGCAGCUAACGCAUUAAGCACUCCGCCUGGGGAGUACGACCGCAAGGUUGAAACUCAAAGGAAUUGACGGGGACCCGCACAAGCGGUGGAGCAUGUGGUUUAAUUCGAAGCAACGCGAAGAACCUUACCAAAUCUUGACAUCCUUUGACAACUCUAGAGAUAGAGCCUUCCCCUUCGGGGGACAAAGUGACAGGUGGUGCAUGGUUGUCGUCAGCUCGUGUCGUGAGAUGUUGGGUUAAGUCCCGCAACGAGCGCAACCCUUAAGCUUAGUUGCCAUCAUUAAGUUGGGCACUCUAAGUUGACUGCCGGUGACAAACCGGAGGAAGGUGGGGAUGACGUCAAAUCAUCAUGCCCCUUAUGAUUUGGGCUACACACGUGCUACAAUGGACAAUACAAAGGGCAGCGAAACCGCGAGGUCAAGCAAAUCCCAUAAAGUUGUUCUCAGUUCGGAUUGUAGUCUGCAGCUCGACUACAUGAAGCUGGAAUCGCUAGUAAUCGUAGAUCAGCAUGCUACGGUGAAUACGUUCCCGGGUCU